rnacentral:rRNA from 1 species
AACGAACGCUGGCGGCAUGCCUAACACAUGCAAGUCGAACGAGACCUCCGGGUCUAGUGGCGCAUGGGUGCGUAACGCGUGGGAACCUGCCCUUAGGUUCCGAAUAACUCUCUGUAAGGGGUGCUAAUACCGGAUAAUGUCCUCUGACCAAAGAUUUAUCGCCUUUGGUUGGGCCCGCGUUGGUUUAGCUGGUUGGUAGGGUAAAAGCCUACCAAGGCGACGAUCCAUAGCGGGGCUGAGAGGAUGAUCAGCCACACUGGGACUGAGACACGGCCCAGACUCCUACGGGAGGCGGCAGUGGGGAAUACUGGACUAUGGGCGAAAGCCUGAUCCAGCAAUGCCGCGUGAGUGAUGAAGGCCUUAGAGUUGUAAAGCUCUUUUACCCGGGAUGAUAAUGACAGUACCGGGAGAAUAAGCUCCGACUAACUCCGUG